rnacentral:rRNA from 1 species
GAUGAACGCUGGCGGCGUGCCUAAUACAUGCAAGUCGAGCGAACAGAUGAGGAGCUUGCUCCUCUGACGUUAGCGGCGGACGGGUGAGUAACACGUGGAUAACCUACCUAUAAGACUGGGAUAACUUCGGGAAACCGGGGCUAAUACCGGAUAAUAUAUUGAACCGCAUGGUUCAAUAGUGAAAGACGGUUUUGCUGUCACUUAUAGAUGGAUCCGCGCCGCAUUAGCUAGUUGGUAAGGUAACGGCUUACCAAGGCAACGACGCGUAGCCGACCUGAGAGGGUGAUCGGCCACACUGGAACUGAGACACGGUCCAGACUCCUACGGGAGGCAGCAGUAGGGAAUCUUCCGCAAUGGGCGAAAGCCUGACGGAGCAACGCCGCGUGAGUGAUGAAGGUCUUCGGAUCGUAAAACUCUGUUAUUAGGGAAGAACAAAUGUGUAAGUAACUACGCACGUCUUGACGGUACCUAAUCAGAAAGCCACGGCUAACUACGUG